ensembl:lncRNA
GACAUAUAUUUUCUGUUACACUGUUGCCUUAGCGCUAAGAUUUCUUUGAUUUUCUGCUGUCAGCUUUACCACCCAGUGGAGAUGUCCUCAAGCGUUCACCAUUGCUGCCUUUCCUGCUAAGAAAAUAGAAUUUGCAUGUGUUUCAAUACUUUCUGGAAUCCUACCUUCCAUAUGCAGUCUAGGGUUCAGUGGUGGAAAAUUUGGCAUGGGAUAUCUGGCACAGCAAAUACACAUCUGCUUGUUAAGGUUAAAACUGUCUAUUUUUGAAAUGGUAAAGACAAGGAGUGGACACUUCUUCCUGACAUUUAAAUAAGGAUGUGUCACAGAAGAGGCAAGAACAGAAAAUUCCAACAAAGACAAAAGAAAUAAACAUCGUAAAUAUGUUGUGCUCUUUAAUGUUGGCAUCGUUUUCAGACUUGUGUUAGGUGAAAAUGAAUGUUUUUGAUCUUCUAUCAAAGGUUUACCUUGAAAAUACAGAUGAAAGAUAAACAUCAUUAGUCCACUCUGAUCUCACUUCAGUGCUCUUUUUUUCCAUGUGCCCAUCAGAUUGUCUCAUUGUUUUUGAUUUUUUUUUAAAUCUGAUUUUCUGUUUAUCUGAAUAGCUGCUAAAUUCUUUGAUCUAUUUUUGUUGGACUUGCAAGGAACUUCAGAACUUCUGUGAAAGCAAGACAGAGAGAAGCAAUGUGUUUCACCUCUACUUUUUGUUGCUUCCAUUUGGAUAUUGGGAAGUCUUUGUGUAGAGAAUAAAUGAUAUAAGGUAUAGGGUAGUGAAAUCUCAUUUAAAAUAAAU